rnacentral:rRNA from 1 species
UACGUAGGGUGCAAGCGUUGUCCGGAAUUAUUGGGCGUAAAGAGCUCGUAGGCGGUCUGUCGCGUCUGCUGUGAAAACCUAGGGCUUAACUCUGGGCGUGCAGUGGGUACGGGCAGGCUAGAGUGCGGUAGGGGAGACUGGAAUUCCUGGUGUAGCGGUGAAAUGCGCAGAUAUCAGGAGGAACACCGGUGGCGAAGGCGGCUCUCUGGGACGGUACUGACGCUGAGACGCGAAAGCGUGGGGAGCGAACAGG